rnacentral:rRNA from 1 species
CCUACGGGUGGCUGCAGUAAGGAAUAUUGGUCAAUGGAGGAAACUCUGAACCAGACAUCCCGCGUGAAGGAUGAAGGGGCUCUGCCUUGUAAACUUCUUUUGUCUGGGGCGAAAAAGCUCGAUUUAUCGAGAACUGACGGUACCAGAAGAAUAAGCACCGGCUAACUCCGUGCCAGCAGCCGCGGUAAUACGGAGGGGGCAAGCGUUAUCGGGAUCAAAGGGUUCGAAGGCGGCUUAGUAAGCCAGGGAUGAAAGGCUGUGGCUUAACCAUGGAAUUGCCAUUGAUACUGCAGAGCUUGAAUGAGGUUGAGGUUGGCGGAAUGUGACAUGUAGCGGUGAAAUGCUUAGAUAUGUCAUGGAACACCGAUUGCGAAGGCAGCUGACUGGACCUAUAUUGACGCUGAGGCACGAAAGCGUGGGGAGCGAACAGGAUUAGAUACCCGGGUAGUC